AGGGGAAGCAGAGCAGGGUGAUGGGGUGGAGUGAGAAGCUAGAACUGGCCUGUCCUGCCAUCACAAGCAUUCACCUUCCAGUGAGGUGAAUCACACCAGGGAACCACAUGCUGGAUCCACCAUGUGAAGUCUGUGAAAAGCUGAGCACCCAGUGUUUUGAGUCCAUUCAAUGGGAAUGCCAGCAGCUCUGGAUUUAAUGAGUCUGCUCUUAAAUAGGAAAAGCUGGAAAAAGGAGAAGCAGAGAACAGGAGAUGAAGGAAGAAGAAUUAUUUGCAGAAGAAAGGAAUACAACAUGCUUACUUGGUUUCA